rnacentral:rRNA from 1 species
UACGGAGGGUGCGAGCGUUGUCCGGAAUCACUGGGCGUAAAGGGCGCGUAGGCGGCAGGCCAAGCGUGCGGUGAAAGUCCGGGGCUCAACCCCGGAUCGGCCGUGCGGACUGGUUUGCUAGAGCACUGUAGAGGCGAGUGGAAUUCCGAGUGUAGAGGUGAAAUUCGUAGAUAUUCGGAAGAACACCAGUGGCGAAGGCGACUCGCUGGACAAGUAUUGACGCUGAGGUGCGAAAGCGUGGGGAGCAAACAGG